rnacentral:rRNA from 1 species
GAUGAACGCUGGCGGCGUGCCUAAUACAUGCAAGUCGAGCGAACAGACGAGGAGCUUGCUCCUCUGACGUUAGCGGCGGACGGGUGAGUAACACGUGGAUAACCUACCUAUAAGACUGGGAUAACUUCGGGAAACCGGAGCUAAUACCGGAUAACAUGUUGAACCGCAUGGUUCAACAGUGAAAGACGGUCUUGCUGUCACUUAUAGAUGGAUCCGCGCCGCAUUAGCUAGUUGGUAAGGUAACGGCUUACCAAAGCAACGAUGCGUAGCCGGCCUGAGAGGGUGAUCGGCCACACUGGAACUGAGACACGGUCCAGACUCCUACGGGAGGCAGCAGUAGGGAAUCUUCCGCAAUGGGCGAAAGCCGGACGGAGCAACGCCGCGUGAGUGAAGAAGGUCUUCGGAUCUUAAAACUCUGUUAUUAGGGAAGAACAAAUGUGUAAGUAACUAUGCACGUCUUGACGGUACCUAAUCAGAAAGCCACGGCUAACUACGUG